rnacentral:rRNA from 1 species
GGGAGCGUUCCGCGAAAGUAGCGGCGGACGGGUGAGUAACACGUGGGCAACCUACCUGUAAGAUUGGGAUAACUUCGGGAAACCGGAGCUAAUACCGAAUAACAAUAAGAACCACAUGGUUCUUAUUUGAAAGAUGGCUUCGGCUAUCACUUACGGAUGGGCCCGCGGCGCAUUAGCUAGUUGGUGAGGUAACGGCUCACCAAGGCGACGAUGCGUAGCCGACCUGAGAGGGUGAUCGGCCACACUGGGACUGAGACACGGCCCAACUCCUACGGGAGGCAGCAGUAGGGAAUCUUCCGCAAUGGACGAAAGUCUGACGGAGCAACGCCGCGUGAGUGAAGAAGGUUUUCGGAUCGUAAAACUCUGUUGUUAGGGAAGAACAAGUAUCGUUCGAAUAGGGCGGUACCUUGACGGUACCUAACCAGAAAGCCACGGCUAACUACGUGCCACAGCCGCGGUAAUACGUAGGUGGCAAGCGUUGUCCGGAAUUAUUGGGCGUAAAGCGCGCGCAGGCGGUUCCUUAAGUCUGAUGUGAAAGCCCACGGCUCAACCGUGGAGGGUCAUUGGAAAACUGGGGGAAACUUUGAGUGCAAAAAGGAGAGUGGAAUUUCCCGCUUAGGGUAAAAUGUGCUAAAAAUUUGUGAGGAAGACCCUGGAAGGGAAUUUCUUGUUAGUAAUAAUAGGGUGAAAGGGUGGGAAGAAAAGAAUAAAUCCCGUUAGUCCAUCCACGAAUAUAUAUGUAUAGGGUUCGACUUAUCUAUACACAACC